ACGGCUCAGUAACACGUAGUCAACAUGCCCAGGGGACGUGGAUAACCUCGGGAAACUGAGAAUAAACCACGAUAGGUCAUGAUUUCUGGAAUGGAUCAUGGCCCAAAUCUACUGGGCCCCUGGAUUGGACUGCGGCCGAUCAGGCAGUUGGUGAGGUAAAGGCCCACCAAACCUAUAACCGGUACGGGCUCUGAGAGGAGAAGCCCGGAGAUGGGCACUGAGACAAGGGCCCAGGCCCUAUGGGGCGCAGCAGGCGCGAAACCUCUGCAAUAGGCGAAAGCCUGACAGGGUUACUCUGAGUGAUUUCCGCUAAGGGGAUCUUUUGGCACCUCUAAAAAUGGUGCAGAAUAAGGGGUGGGCAAGUCUGGUGUCAGCCGCCGCGGUAAUACCAGCACCCCGAGUGGUCGGGACGAUUAUUGGGCCUAAAGCAUCCGUAGCCGGUUCUGCAAGUCUUCCGUUAAAUCCAGCCGCUCAACGGAUGGGCCGCGGAGGAUACUACAGGACUAGGAGGCGGGAGAGGCAAGCGGUACUCAGUGGGUAGGGGUAAAAUCCUUUGAUCCAUUGAAGACCACCAGUGGCGAAGGCGGCUUGCCAGAACGCGCUCGACGGUGAGGGAUGAAAGCUGGGGGAGCAAACCGGAUUAGAUACCCGGGUAGUCCCAGCUGUAAACGAUGCAGACUCGGUGAUGGGCUAGCCUUGUGCCAGCCCAGUGCCGCAGGGAAGCCGUUAAGUCUGCCGCCUGGGGAGUACGGUCGCAAGACUGAAACUUAAAGGAAUUGGCGGGGGAGAAUC
rnacentral:rRNA from 1 species